rnacentral:rRNA from 1 species
UACGUAGGGUGCAAGCGUUGUCCGGAAUUAUUGGGCGUAAAGAGCUCGUAGGCGGUUUGUCGCGUCUGCUGUGAAAACCGGAGGCUCAACCUCCGGCCUGCAGUGGGUACGGGCAGACUAGAGUGCGGUAGGGGAGAUUGGAAUUCCUGGUGUAGCGGUGGAAUGCGCAGAUAUCAGGAGGAACACCGAUGGAGAAGGCAGAUCUCUGGGCCGUAACUGACGCUGAGGAGCGAAAGCAUGGGGAGCGAACAGG